rnacentral:rRNA from 1 species
CGCGAUUGGAGCGGCCGAUAUCAGAUUAGCUAGUUGGUGGGGUAAAAAGCCCACCAAGGCAACGAUCUGUAGCUGGUCUGAGAGGACGACCAGCCACACUGGGACUGAGACCACGGCCCAGACUCCUACGGGAGGCAGCAGUGGGAAUUUUGGACAAUGGACGCAAGUCUGAUCCAGCCAUGCCGCGUGCGGGAAGAAGGCCUUCGGGUUGUAAACCGCUUUUGUCAGGGAAGAAACGGCUCGCUCUAAUACAGUGGGCUAAUGACGGUACCUGAAGAAUAAGCACCGGCUAACUACGUG